CAGUUGCUGAAUUGGAAAGGGAUGUUGGAGGCACUGCCCCAAGAUAAUGGAGACAUUGCCCCAAGUAAGAACAGCCCAGAGGUAAUGCCCACCUGACACCCCCCAGCCUAUUUGUUGCCAGCCCAAUUCAAGCCUGUGGCACCAGCAUGACUCACCUGAUGCAUCUGGGGCUCCACUGUGGCUUCCUGAGCACAUCAUCUUUGUGGGACCUGGGUCUCUGCCCUGUGAACCCCAGGAUGAAGUCAGACCUUGAUCCUGUGACUGGGGAUCUCACCUGCCAGUAGAGGAGACAGAACCGUCACUCACGACUGCCCCCACAUCCCACAUGACCUGGGCAGUGACACAGUGGCACUUAAAGCACACAGUUUGUCUUAGUCUGUUCAGCUGCUAGAACAAAACGCCACACACUGGGUGGCUUAGAAACAACAGAAAUUUCUUUGUCACAGCUCUGGAGGCUGGAAGUCCAAGAUCAAGGUGGCAGCAGGUUUGGUGAGGGCCUGCUUCCUGGUUCACAGAUGGAUUCUUCUUGCUGUGGCCCAUGUGGUGGGAAGGACAAGGCAGCCUCUGGGGCCUCUAUUAUGAUGACACAAAUCCCAUUCAGGAGGGUGGGUCCCUCAUGACCUCACCCCCUCCCAAGAGCCUCACCUCCUCAUACCAUUGCCUUGGGGGUUAAGUGUCAACAUAUGAAUUUCGAGGAGACACAAACUUUCAGACCAUAGCACAGGACCAUUGGAAGAGAGGGAUCCCGGGAGAUGAUCCCUGCAGAAAGGCAACACCAAAGCAGAAUAUGAUGCUCAAAGAGAAGCUUGCCAGAGGCCCGGGGUGGGAGGUCCCACAUCACAUGAAAACUCAACGGGAUGCCAGCUCCUAAAGCCACAUGGGAGGCCACUCUCCAGGGCUCCAGGGCAUGGGACACAUGGAUGAGGGUCCACAGCCACCAUGCGUGCUUGGAUCGAUUGGUCGCCCCUGACCACUCUCUCAGGAGAGGAGGAAAGAGGCCGGAGCCAAGACCAUCCUUUCCCAGCACAACGCGGCAAGCUUGGGUGAGGCAGCUGGGAUCCUCCCCCACCUUGACAGAAGCCUGGAACCUGAAGCCCAGGCAGAGCCAUGCAGACAGCCUGCCGAGAAGGCAGGUGGGGCAGAGACUGGGGAAGAAGGUGUUGGGGGUCCUGCCAGAUGCUUCGGUGAGGCUGAGUGAGGAGGCAGCUGCAGUAAGCAACAGGAGCGUCUCCCUGCAGGCACAGGCUCUCGCCAGAAUGGGGACAAGGUGGGCACCUCCCCUGCCCAGCACUGCCUCUGAGUCAGCCCACUCAGCAAUACCCAGAGAGGCCUCUGCAGCGGGCAUGGAGACAGGCUCUGGGAUGCAUACGGCAGGUCAUUGCCCAUAA
rnacentral:lncRNA from 1 species